rnacentral:rRNA from 1 species
UACGAAGGGGGCUAGCGUUGUUCGGAAUCACUGGGCGUAAAGGGCGCGUAGGCGGGCUCGUAAGUCGAGGGUGAAAUCCUGUGGCUCAACCACAGAACGGCCUUCGAUACUAGGAGCCUCGAGUUCGAGAGAGGUUGGUGGAAUUGCGAGUGUAGAGGUGAAAUUCGUAGAGAUUCGCAGGAACACCAGUGGCGAAGGCGACCAACUGGCUCGAUACUGACGCUGAGGCGCGAAAGCGUGGGGAG